UACGUAGGGUGCAAGCGUUGUCCGGAAUCAUUGGGCGUAAAGAGCGUGUAGGCGGCUCGAUUAGUCCGCUGUAAAAGUCCAGGGCUCAACCCUGGGGUGCCGGUGGAAACUGUCGGGCUAGAGUCCGGGAGAGGCGAGUGGAAUUCCUGGUGUAGCGGUGAAAUGCGCAGAUAUCAGGAGGAACACCAAUGGCGAAGGCAGCUCGCUGGAACGGUACUGACGCUGAGACGCGAAAGCGUGGGGAGCAAACAGG
rnacentral:rRNA from 1 species